rfam:Pyrenochaeta sp. DS3sAY3a unplaced genomic scaffold IQ07scaffold_4, whole genome shotgun sequence.
GUCAAUUUGGCCGAGUGGUUAUGGCGUGUGACUCAAGUUUUCCAAAACUUCCCUUGUUAGAAGGGCGCAUUCUCAUGGGGUUUCCCCGCGUGGGUUCGAAUCCCACAGUUGACA